AAAAGUGUACUAAGUACUGCUAAUACUUAUAACCAAAAC
rnacentral:tRNA from 1 species